rnacentral:tRNA from 1 species
GGAGAGAUGGCCGAGUGGUUGAAGGCGUAGCACUAUGUAGGCUUUUUGUUUACCGAGGGUUCGAAUCCCUCUCUUUCCG